ensembl:snRNA U6 U6 spliceosomal RNA
GUCUGCUUUGGUAGAAAUAUACUGAAGUUGGAAUGACACAGAGUUGAUUAGGAUGGCCCUUAUGCAAAGAUGAUGCACACAUCUGUGAAGUGUUCCAUAUUUUU